UACGGGGGGGGCAAGCGUUGUUCGGAAUUACUGGGCGUAAAGGGCUCGUAGGCGGCCAACUAAGUCGGAUGUGAAAUCCCCAGGCUUAACCUGGGAACUGCAUCCGAUACUGGAUGGCUUGAAUUCGGGAGAGGGAUGCAGAAUUCCAGGUGUAGCGGUGAAAUGCGUAGAUAUCUGGAGGAAUACCGGUGGCGAAGGCGGCAUCCUGGACCGACAUUGACGCUGAGUGAGCGAAAGCGUGGGGAGCGAACAGG
rnacentral:rRNA from 1 species